rnacentral:rRNA from 1 species
UACAGAGGGUGCGAGCGUUGUUCGGAAUUAUUGGGCGUAAAGCGCUUGUAGGCGGCUUGUUAAGUCGCGUGUGAAAUCCCCAGGCUUAACCUGGGAAGUGCGCGCGAAACUGGCGAGCUUGAGUGCCGGAGAGGGUCGCGGAAUUCCCGGUGUAGAGGUGAAAUUCGUAGAUAUCGGGAGGAACACCAGUGGCGAAGGCGGCGACCUGGACGGACAUUGACGCUGAGACGCGAAAGCGUGGGGAGCAAACAGG